AUUGAACGCUGGCGGCAGGCCUAACACAUGCAAGUCGAACGAGUGGCGGACGGGUGAGUAAUGUCUGGGAAACUGCCUGAUGGAGGGGGAUAACUACUGGAAACGGUAGCUAAUACCGCAUACCAUCAGAUGUGCCCAGAUGGGAUUAGCUUGUUGGUGGGGUAACGGCUCACCAAGGCGACGAUCCCUAGCUGGUCUGAGAGGAUUACCAGCCCCCCUGGAACGGAGACACGGUCCAGACUCCACCGAGAGGCAGCAUUUGAAAAUAUUUCACAAUGUUCGCAAGCCUGAUUCAGCCAUGCCGCGUGUAUGAAGAAUGCCUUCGGGUUUUAACGUACUUUCAGCGGGGAGGCGUUACCCGCAGAAGAAGCACCGGCUAACUCCGUGCCAGCAGCCGCGGUAAUUC
rnacentral:rRNA from 1 species